rnacentral:tRNA from 1 species
AGAAAGAUGCCUGAAUUUGAAAGGAUUAUUUUGAUGUAAUAAAUUAUGUCUCGUAAACUCUUUCUA